rnacentral:rRNA from 1 species
GAUUGAACGCUGGCGGAAUGCUUUACACAUGCAAGUCGAGCGGCAGCGCGGGGAUUCGAGGCAAACUGAGUCCUGGCGGCGAGCGGCGAACGGGUGAGUAACCAUAUCGGAACGUACCCCGUCGUGGGGGAUAACACAGCGAAAGCUGUGCUAAUACCGCAUACGACCCUGAGGGAGAAAGCGGGGGACCCCCAAGGGUAACUGAGGGGCCUCGCGCGAUGGGAGACGGCCGAUAUCGGGAUUAGCUAGUUGGUGAGGUAAAGGCUCACCAAGGCGACGAUCCGUAGCGGGUCUGAGAGGACGA